GACAAUAAAGAAAUAGCAAGAAUCCGCCGCGCCCCGUGCGCAGUGCAGCCAUUGGCUGGCAGCGGAGUUCCGCGAAAGGCCACCCCUCGCUUUUGUUUUGUUUGCAGCCUGUUCCGGUUGGCAUCGGGGUUGUGCAACCCGCGACUGACGCAGCAGAAAAGAACUGCUAUUAAAACAUUUGCCGGAAAGAGGGCUGGAGAGGGGAGAAGCCUGGGCGUUCCCCUUCGGGGUCAAGAGAGGGCAGCAGUGAGCAGCAGCAUUCUCAGAAUGGCUCAUUCACAUAAUUCCCCCUGAUAUCGGCUUCCUGGUACCCGAAGGCUGCCUGACUUUCCCAGGUGGGACAAGACUCCGGAUGCCCGUAAUGUGAUUAAGGUAAAAAUUAUGUCAGCUUAGGAAAGUCUGCAAAACCAAAGGGAAGACUCAUCUCCCUGCUAUGAUUGUGCAGAAUGACUCGUCCAGCAAAAACGAGUCACCGUAUUCUCAAAAAUCACACUCGGGUUAAGAUUUCAGAUGACACAGAAGUCCAACAGAGAAAAGAGCUUUUGAAAAGAAAACGGCGCAGAAUGACAACCUUGUAAAUCCAUUGCACAGUAUAAAUUUUAUUAAGUUAUUCUGUGGUCUUUCGGGAGCUGUUUAUGAAAUUACACAACUGAGUGUUAUCUACUGAAAAUUUACAGCUUGUCCAGGAAAUGUACACCAUGCGUUUUUAAUACAGAGGAGAAUUUUUAUUUAUUUUAAAUGUUUAAAGGCUAUAGCUUCUGCUCACUCAGUUUGAUUUAAAAAAAACCCCUCUGCAAUUAAGUUUGGUUUAUUAAUUAGCAUUUUGCAUACUUAUUCUUCAUUUAUGUAAGACUCUUUCAGAAUGUCAAAAGGGUUAGAAACCGAAACUGAGAACAGCUGAAAUGAUUUUCCCAUUAUCCAAUUAAAAGGGAACAAAACAACACAUUAUGGAAUUUGAGUAAAAACUUUCUAGAUGGCAUGGGUUUUAUUAAAGUCAGUCAACAGAGGAUCUGAAAGAUGUGUCCUCCAAAAUGUGCAUUUGACCAAUAUAUAUACCAAAGUGAUGCCCUUACUAUUAUUACCAUUAUUCCACCAUCCAUGUGCAUUACGCUUUAUAGAGUGGAAGAACAUAGGUCCUUGCUUCAGCUACUGCUUCAGUCAGUGACAGAUAUUUCAGGUAUUAUUUCAAGAAAUCUGCCUUUGCCUGGCACGGACAAUGACCGCAGCGGUGUCAAUGUGUUACACUGCGCCUUUUGUUGGGCAAAACUGCAGAGUAGUAACAUAGUUCUGGCUUUCUAGAUUCAAAAAAUAAAAAUAAAUACUGUACAGCAAGGCUUACUACCCAGGGCUACUAUCCAUGCAGUGUAAAAAUAAAUAAAUCUCAACUUCUACAGAUUUUACUUUUUAAAUAGUAGCUUAUCUUAAAAGCAAAAUAAAAUUAAAAUUGGGGGGGGGUGUGUGUUGUCCCUAUAGGUUACUGAAGUGCCAAUCCUAUACCUACUUCCCUGGGAAUGAGCCCGAUUUAAUUCAAUGGGACUUAUUUCUGAGUAGUAGGGUCAUACUGUCAGAGCAGCCACUGUGUUAUUACAACCCUGAUGGUGGAUAUGAAUGAAUAGCCAUAAGCCCUGAGAAAUUCUUAUGAUCAAAAUUUUAAACAUCCCUAGAAUUAUUAAUGAAUUAGCUAGGAGUCAGUUACUGGAUUUAUAUAUAAAGAAUGACCCAGGUCAGCUACUAACAACAAAGGCAAAUGUAUAUCUAAAAAGCACAAAGGAAAAAAAAGGAAGUAAAAAUUAUGGUGUUCCUUGAGAAGGAUGUUCCAAACUCACCUUAAAUUUCGCUUUAGAAGAAACUGUGACAACUGGCUAUAAAUGUGUAAGGUAUUCCUAUAGUAGAUUUUUUUAAAAAAGUAUUCUUCUUUACUACAAUAAGUGUUUGUAAAGUAUGCUCCUCACUGGACUUUUUUUUUAUUUUGAAUGAUGAAUUGGAAUAAAAUUUAUGCAAUUAAAUGAAGUACUACGACGACUGUUAACUGUUUUACAAUGCAAUCCUGUAUGUAAAUUGAGGCCAACGGGACUAAUUCUACAUGCAACACUUUCUUAGAAAAAGGAAAUCAAGGAUUACAGCCUCGAUUUCCUUUUUCUAAGAAAACCAAGAGUGUGUGAUUCAAGUACUUCUGAUCCCCACGGAACAGAGUGGGCAACCCUAAUUUUACCUUUCAAUUUGAUGGAACUUAACUGGAUUGUGCCUCAGCUUAAUUUAUUUCUGUUACACUCAAGUGAUAUGAGAUACCUAGUCACCACUCAAUGCCGAAACCUCUGAAAUUAACUGGCAUGUCUGAAUGUAUUGGAUCAUGGCCACUGUUUGCUAAAAGCUUAAUAAAACCUAGAUUUUAAAAAUA